AUUGCUUCUUGGCCUUUUGGCUAAGAUUAUGUGUCAUAUCUGUUCUUAUCACUUUAACACCUGACACAUCUUCUACUAAGGGACAACGUUUACCCAGUUUUCUCCAGGGAUCAGUAAAGUAUUGAUUCUUAUUCUGAUUAUGUGCAACUUUGGAAUACACUUUACUGAACCACCUUCUUACGCAGCUUUC